rnacentral:rRNA from 1 species
AUUGAACGCUGGCGGCAGGCCUAACACAUGCAAGUCGAACGAGUGGCGGACGGGUGAGUAAUGUCUGGGAAACUGCCUGAUGGAGGGGGAAAACUACUGGAAACGGUAGCUAAUACCGCAUACCGCCAGAUGUGCCCAGGUGGGAUUAGCUUGUUGGUGGGGUAACGGCUCACCAAGGCGACGCUCCCUAGCUGGCCUGAGAGGAUGACCAGCCACACUGGAACUGAGACACGGUCCAGACUCCUACGGGAGGCAGCAGUGGGGAAUAUUGCGCAAUGGGCGCAAGCCUGAUGCAGCCAUGCCGCGUGUAUGAAGAAGGCCUUCGGUUUGUAAAGUACUUUCAGCAGGGAGGCGUUACCCACAGAGGAAGCACCGGCUAACUCCGUGCCAGCAGCCGCGGUAAUUC